CUGCUGCUGAACAAUGCUGGUCAUGCCUAGGGCAGGAGUGGCACGGAGGAAAAUGUCCUCAACAAUAUGAAGAAGAGGCUUCACUGAAAAUUCACGGCCAUCAGGAGCAUGAGUGGCCUGAAUUUGCUUCAUCAUUGCGGUGUCAUCCGAUGAUGAAAACAUACUGCGUUCACGCCUCAUCUUUAAAGGUACCACUGCCAUCGAGGUCAUAGAAAACUAUAUAGAUUCAAAUUCUAAGAGGGAAAGAGAGAGGAGCGAACAGCUUGUGUUGGUAUGGAUGUGGUUAGCUGAUCCGAGACUUGUAUUUAUAGGUCAAAUUAAGCUAGAAUUAAUACCUUGCUUCAGACAGGGUCUAAGCUCUAAAGUGCACCAGGGAUAAAUUUUGGAGAAGGUCCUGUCUACAAUAUUGUACCUGAUUUUACUAUCUUUUUGGCUUUGAUUUUAACUAUGUUUUCGAAGAUUCGAAUACUAUGAUUGCUGAUUUUACUUCUAUAUGUUUUGUGGAACACGUUGAUGCUGAGUUUGUCACACAGUCACAGUUUAAAUUUUAAUUUUGUGGAACACGUUGAUUCCGAGCAUGUCACAGGUCCAUACUUUCCGGUCAGCCCAUGAUCGGAAUGUUGUUUCAGCGGCAACGCCCUUGCUCUGCUUGUUGAGACUCAGAAGCUGAAAUCCUUUCGUUUUCUUAUAGAAUCAUUAACGAGUUGUAACUCAUCUGACAUCAAUGUAAUUUACUCUUUUCAAGAGAUCUGGAAUUCAAAUUUCAACGUCAUAGAAUGAAAUUACGUUCUCAAACAAAGAUAAAAGGCAGCAGUACUCUGAUCAUAUUAUUAUGAUGAAGGCAACAUUCAAUCCACAAGCAAUUAUCUGUGCUGCUGCACCCGUGUGUAAAACAAAAUUUCAUGUGUUAUUCUGAAAUGGUUGCACGUUAAUUUUAACCAGACAAUACGAUGAAGGAAUGGAGAAAAUGUUUAUGAACUUUCUCUGAAGAAUGUUUCUUUGUCUUUUAUGACGUAAGAAACCUUUCAUCAUUAAAGUUAAAGGUGAUUAGAUGCUCAUUGUUUUCUCUGUUUUUUCCAUAUCACCAGCAAUAAUGACGCAUCUCUUUCCUUCACUUUGUGGUAGGGUUUUUGUGUUUUAAUAUUUUUUUUUAAAAAAUUAAUUUUUAUUAUUUUAAAUUAAUUUUUAAAUAAUUUUAAUAUACUGAUAUCAAAAAUAGAUUUUAUUUAAUUAUAAUUUUUAAAAACACUUUAAAAAAUAAUUAUAUCAUAAAACCAAACAAACUCAUCAUCAUUAAUUAUUAAAAAUAAAUUUUAAUAGUUCAUGAUAAAUAAAUAAAUAAAUUCAUGUUGUUUAUUAAAACUAAUUAAUUAGUUUUUAUAGUAUAAAAAAUGAUUAAAGAGUCCCCUAACCAAUACUUACCAUCCUUAAUUCAAUAGGAUUUUCUUUUCUUCUAAGAAAUUUCUACUUUUCUGAUUAGAUCUCUUCAUCUUACAUGCUUUUUUAGUUUCUCUUUUCUUUUUAUUUCUCAAACAAAAAAAAAAAUAAAAAUAAAAACCAAAACAAAUAUAAAAUUGAAGAAAGGAACAUCCAAACCAAGCCACCUUUCUAAAUUUAUGAGGAUUAAUUGAUUAAUUAAUUUUGUCAAACUGUAAAUACUAAUUUAUAGUUUAGUCACCACGAACCAUCCAGAUUCUGAACUCUAAGCCAAGCCACCUUUCUCCCCAUUUCUUUACAUUUUAAAAGGGUGUUUCCUAUUUACUCUUCCUGCAUGAGUUAAGUUAUUUAUGAGAAUUAUUUCUUCCUCGUAUUAAUUAUUUAAUUAUUUAAUUUUAAAUUAAUAUAUUUUUUAGUGUUUUUAGAUUAUUUUGAUACACUAAUAUCCAAAACAAUUUUAAAAAAUAAAAAAAUAUUAUUAAAAUAUAUUUUUAAAUAAAAAAUAUUUUAAAAAACAAUUAUAAUCAUUCUUCCAAUUAAAUCCUUAAUAUAACUUAUCAAAAAAGUACUUUAAGUCAUUGUAAUACCUUUAAAAACUGUCAAUGGUCGUGCGCGUUGCCUUACAUGAGGUCGUUUGAAACUUUGAAUAUAUAACUAAGCUUACCCAACUACAAAUCUUUUUUAUUAUUAUAUAUUUACUUAAAAGGUACUUUUAUUAAUCAAAGUUAAAAAUACUCAAGCGUUGCAAACGUAACUGCCAAUUUUGUUUUUUAAAAAUGAUGUGAAAAAAAUUAUUAGAGUAUAAUAAAAAGUUAAAGGUUAUAAUUGAUUGCUUUUUUUCUUUGAAAAAAGUAUGAUUGAGAAAGAAGAGUAUUUUGAUAGGUAUUUAUUCCUUAAUUAAAAAAAAAACUCACCAAAUUAUAAGUGUGAUUGAAAUAUAACAUUAUUUCAAACUAAUCAUAAUGAAAUUAUAAAAAAAACCAUCCAAGAACAAUGAAGGAAUAGAAAAAAAAGGUCGUCUUUUAGUUCAACUUUAAUUUAGAACAAAUAUAAAAUAUACCAUAAAACAAUUGGAUCAUCAUCGAUUUGCACUUAGACUAUCCAAACACCCUUGUUUAGAUCUUGAAAGAACAUCACAUAUAAUCACUCCAAAUGAUUUUUGAUCCCAUCGAACUUGAAAUAAUUAUAGCUCAAACUUUAUGAAAUUCCAAAGAAUGACAUGGGGACCAAAAUCAAAGCAUAAGGUGGAAAAGGAAAAGGAUAAGGAAGAACCUUAUAUUCUCUAGACUUGAACUCCAAGGAAUGUGGGAAUAAGGCAGGCGUUCAGCACCUAUACCAGGGAGGGGGGGGGGUAAAAAGUGGUGGAUAACAAGUUUUAGAAUUUGAGAUAUGCCGAUAUGUCACCCAAAAUCCGUUUAAUUUGGGACAAAAUUGGUCUGAAUUGAAAAUAAUAAUAAUAAUAAUUGAUUGACUCAGUGAUCGAUUUAAUCAAGAUCUGACUCGGUUACAGAUGACUAAAAAUUCAUUAAAUUGUUUUUAAUCUUUUUUUUUAUCAAAACAAUAUUAUUUUGAUUUUUUAAAAAAAUUAGAUCAAUUUGAAUUAAUUAUUCCGACUCGUAACACAGACUUGCCUUUGUUGUUUUAGGUCGAGUUUUAAAACUAUAAUAUAUAAGUUAUUAAGUUAUUGAGUUAAUCUUUAUCAGUUCAAUUUAAAUAAAUUAUUUUUUUUAAAAAUAAAACUUCCAAACCCAAUCUAAAUCUAGUCAAGUUUGAACCAAGCUAAUCAUGUAAUUAAAAACUUAAUCGAGUUAAUCAGAUUUGAUCUAGUUAAUGACUUUUUAGAUUCAACUUAAGGGUCAUGGUUUUCUAGUAACAACUAGCGGAGACCGGCCGGGUUUAACAUCUAUGAAAUAAUUAACUAUGCUAGUACAGGAAAACUAAUAAGAAACCACAGAUUUACUGCUCUUUGCUUCUAGCAAGUUUGGUUUUUUUUUUUUUUAUUUGUGUUGGGAGAUUCUAGUUUCUUUCCUUGCUGUCAUCUUUCUACUAAUUUUAUCUCCAGAGGAUCAAUAGCUGCAACUUGUAGAAGGCCGCCUUUUCUACCUUAUUUUUCUGCUCUUUAUCUUUAUACAGAUCGCCGAGAAUUAGCAGAACAAGCAAGGAUAUAGUUACUGUAUUGUUUACUAAGAACAUGAUCAAGUGUACUGUAAAAUUAAGUUGCAUCAAUCUGUAAUUAGAUGAUCAUAAUAAAUUGUCAAGCAUUCUGUUUAACAACGAUAAUAAAAAAAAUAGCUUGAUGUUUGUUUGCUUGGUACAUAUCGAUAUUUCACUCAUAAACAACGUUCUUCUUCAUGGGAUGCUCACACUACUCACACAGUACAGUUUCUUCUGUUAGCCCUUCUGCGUAAGUGAUAAGUAAUUUACUAUCAACUAUGAAAGAAUCAAGACAGAAAGGAAGAAGAGACAAAGUAGGAAGGAAGUUAUUUAUUUUCUGCAUAAUUCAAAACAACCUAUUGGCUAUAUUUUAUAGCCGACUAAACAUUGAACAAUAAACUACCUGCUUAAGAAUAGGAAAGCACUAACAAUACGAAACUAAUAAUAAGGAAUUACUCCUCCACUACGCUAGUUUCCAGCCAUGACCAGUAACUAACAAAGACUCCUUCCUCAUUCACCCCACGUUACAGUAACUAACAAAGACCCAUUCCUAUUCAUCCCACGUCCCUGCACCAUGCCUUUACCCACGUAGGAAUGAACAUAUCAAUUCCCCACCCUUAAGAUUCCUUGUCCGCAAGGAAUGCAGGAUAGGACUUAGCCAAUCGGCGUUCAUCUUCCCAAGUGGCAUCAUCAACGAGGGCCUGUCCAUUUAAUGAGAACUUCAACCUUUGGACGAUAUUGGCCUUUUUGGAUGACUCUGCGAUCCAGAACUGUCUCAGGUUGAGGCAGAAUAUUGGCUUCAUCAUUCACAGGAGGAAGCUGAGUAGAAAUUGUAGUGACAGGACCAACAUGUUUUUUUAACAUGCUAACAUGAAAGACGUUGUGAAUCAAAGACCCCAAAGGCAAAGCCAAACGAUAAGCUACUGGUCCAACUUUUUCUGUAAUUUGGUAAGGACCAAAAUAGCGGGGUGACAGCUUCAAAGAGCUGCGAAAUGCCACCGAAGUCUGUCGGUAAGGUUGCAGUUUUAGGUAGACAAAGUCGCCCACUUCAUAGUUAACCUCACGGCGCCGCUGAUCUGCUUGACAUUUCAUCCGCGCUUGAGCUAAUGAGAGAUUCUUUCUCAACUCACAGAGGAUGGCAUCUCGAUUACGCAAGUAUCCAUCCACAGCCUGUACGUUGGAAGUUCCAGGGACAUACAUCAAUAAGGUUGGAGGUGGAACUCCAUACACUGCCUCAAAAGGUGUCAUUUUGGUUGCUGAAUGGACUGAGGUGUUAUAGCUAAAUUCUGCCCAUGGAAUCCAGUCAAUCCAUUUGCGUGGUUGGUCCCCUGCAAAACACCGCAAGUACUGCUCCAAGACGCGAUUAAUCACCUCAGUCUGGCCGUCCGUUUGAGGGUGGUAGCUUGAACUCAUGCAUAACUUUGUGCCCUGAAGCCGAAACAGUGUGCGCCAAAAAGAACUAAUGAAUACUCUGUCCCGAUCACUAACUAUUGAAGCUGGAAUUCCAUGCAGCCGGACUAUGUGAGAAACGAAUGCUUGUGCAACCGUGGCAGCUGUAUAUGGAUGUUUCAUGGGAACAAAAUGUGCAUAUUUAGACAAACGAUCAACAACCACCAUAACCACCGUAUGCCACUGGAUGGUGGUAACCCCUCAAUGAAAUCCAUGGAUAUGUCAACCCAUAUCCUGUCAGGAAUUGAUAGAGGCUGAAGUAAUCCAGCAGGUCGCAUGGAAUCUGUCUUGUAUCGCUGACAAAUAUCACAGCUACGCAAAAAUUCUUUGACUGUGCCACGCAUUUGCGGCCAGGAGAAGCUUUGUUUGAGUCGGAUAAGGUUUUAUGAUAACCAAAAUGUCCCCGUAGGAGAAGCAUGACAUUCUGUAAUAAUCUUGCAGUAAAGAAGAAGUGGGACUCAAAUAAUGCUUACCCUUUUUGAACCAAACUCCAUCCGGUAUGAAAAUGCAGCAGUGGAGAUGUACUGUCAGCCAAAGGUGUAAAGAAUGGAUCAUGUGCCACUUCAUGUUGAAGCUUCUGCCACCAAUCAACAUGUGGAGUAGAGAUGGAAAGAAACUGACAUUCAGCUACCCGUGAAAGAGAAUCAGCUGCCUGGUUGUCAACUCCUUUCUUGUACUCGAUAAUUAGUCAUAUCCCAUAAUCUUCGGUAACCAACGAGUCUGAGCUGGUGUAGUAAUGCGCUGCUCCAACAAAUAUUUGAGACUUUGUUGGUCUGUGCGCACAAUGAAUGGUUUGCCGAGCAAGUAGGGUCUCCAUUUCUUAAUGGACUUCACAAUUGCUAACAUCUCUUUUUCAUAUGUAGAGAGAAUCAGUGUUGAACCUUUCAGAGCCUCACUAUAAUAAGCUAUGGGACGUUGUUUUGAGACAGCACAGCCCCUAGGCCAACUCCGCAAGCAUCACACUCAAUGACAAACGGCUGUGUAAAAUCUGGCAGAGCCAAAACAGGAGGAGAUGUUAAUGCUUGUUUCAAAUCGUUGAACGCCUUUUCUGCCAUAUCGUUCCAUUGAAACCAUCUUGGAUAACAACUGGUUGAGGGGAGCAGCAAUGGUACCAAAAUUCCGAAUAAAUUUUCGGUAGUACCCAGCUAGACCCAAAAAUCCGCGGACCCCUUUAAUGGUGGUUGGAGUAGGCCAUUCCAGAACUGCUACGAUUUUGGACGGAUCGACAGAAACCCCUUGUUCUGAUAUAACAUGGCCCAAAUAAUCCUGAAGUAACCCCAAACCUGCAUUUAGAUUCCUUUGCCAAUAAACUGUUAGUAGACAAGAUUGUCAAAACAGUGUGGAGGUGACUUAAAUGAUCCUCCCAAGAUUUUGAAUACACCAAAAUGUCGUCAAAGAAGACAAGAAUGAAUUUCCGUAAAUGAGAACGGAAGAUAUCAUUCAUAAGACCUUGGAAGGUUGCAGGUGCGUUAGUAAGUCCAAACGGCAUGACAACAAACUCGUAGUGGCCUUCAUGCGUCCUGAAUGCGUUUUAGGGAUGUCUCUUCUGUACCCUGAUUUGGUGAUAACCUGCUCGAAGAUCAAGCUUGGAAAAAAAUUUGGCUCCAUGUAAUUCGUCAAGAAGUUCAUCGAUGACUGGAAUAGGAUAUUUAUCCUUGAUGGUAAGAUCAUUUAGAGCUCGAUAGUCUAUGCAGAAACGCCAAUCCCCAUCUGCUUUCCUGACCAACAAGACCGGUGAAGAAAAUGGGCUAUGGCUGGGACGUAUGAACCCUGCGUGUAGUAGCUCCUUUACCAUCCGUUCAAUCUCAGACUUUUGAUAAUAUGGAUAUCUGUAAGGUCGUACACUGACUGGUUGGAUGUUGGGCUGCAGCAUAAUUUGGUGGUCAUGUAGUCGUUUAGGUGGUAAGGUUGUAGGAGGGUUGAAAACGUGAGAGAAAUUGGAUAAGAGUUGGGCUAUUUCAGAGGGGUGUGACUUUGGCUGGGUAGUAGAGCCUACUGGAAUGAUAGCAAAGAAUUGGCUAGAUACGUACAUAGUAUUGAACUCCUUCUCUGUCAACUCUUGUAGGCCGGAUUGUUUCAGCCCUUGGAACACACAUAAAUUUCCAUCUUUUUUGAAAGACAUUGUGAGUCUCUUAUAAUCGGUCUCCACCGGUCCCAGUGUCACCAGCCACUGCACCCCCAACACUACUGGACACGCUGCUACUGGAAGAAUAAAGUAAUCUGCUGUAACCAUUUGUCCCUGUAUCAAGAUGGUGAGUGAAGGACACAAUCCAGUGCAAUCUAUCUUCUCCCCGUUGGCUACUGUCACCUGGAAUUUUUUAUUAGGAAUCACAGGUAAUUCAUAUUUGUGGACUAUGGACUGAUCAAUGAAAUUGUGUGUGCUUCCACCAUCUAUCAAUACCAUGACUUCUUUGCUCCUCAAUCUUCCCAUCACCCGAAGGGUUUGGGGGUGAGCCGUACCUGUAAUUGCAUGGAAGGAAAUUUCAGGAAAGGCUUCCUGGUCCUCUGCCGCUGGUAGAAUCUCCGAUUGUUCCACAGACUCCUGAUCAUUUGAGUCAUAAAUCAUGAAUAAUUGGGGUCGUUGGCAGCGAUGACCCGGACUGAAUUUCUCAUCACAAUAGUAACAUAAACCUUUCUCUCGCCGUUCUCGUGCUUCCUGGGUGGAAAUACGUCUGGCAUUUGACGUGGAAUUCAUGCUCUGCCGCAGAUUUGGUGGAGGUCCAAGCACCCCGACAGUAUUACUCAUGCUUGGCUUUGUUGUAGCUGUAGUUGUUGAAUCCGGAAAGGGUGUGUUACCUUCUUUUGAAGUUGGUUUCGUUCUUCAAUCAACCUUGAGACACCGAUGGUAUCUGAUAGUGUGGUUGGGUGCUUAAUCUUGACAUCCAAGCGAAUAUCAUCUCUUAGACCUGCAAUGAAACAGCCGAUAAGGAAGGUUUCUGGAAGGCCAUCAACUUGAUGGGAGAGUUUUUCAAACUCUUCUUGAUAGGCUGCAAUGGUAGAAGUUUGUCGCAGUCUUGAAAGAGCUUCAGAGGGGUCUUCAAAAUCAGUUGGACCAAAACGUCGGAGAAGGGCCUUGGUGAAUUCUUCCCAUGUUAAUGGUCCCUGGAAUUUAGUCAUCCAUCGAUGCCAUUGUAAGGCUAUGCCCUCUAGGUGGAAGGAUGCAAGCGAUACUCGUUGAACAGGUGGAACAUUAUUGUACUCAAAAUACUGCUCAGAUUUGUAAAUCCACCCCAUAGGAUCUUCCCCGCUGAAUUUUGCAAAAUUCAAUUUUAGUGAAUGAUGGUUUCCUGAGUUGUGACUUGAUGAUUCAGCAGGAGCAAAUGGGUUAAACUUCGGAGGAUUCAUUCUUGGGCUCCUGGAGACGCGUAAGGCUUGUAACUCUGUCAGUAUCGUUUGUAAAGUGCCAUGCACCUGAUCGAAGUUGGCUUCGUGUCUAGCCAAAGGUUCAUUGACUUCACUGCGGAACUCCGCAUUAGAUUUUCCUCUGGUAUCCAUGUUGGAACCAGCUCUGAUACCAAUUGAUAAGUAAUUUACUAUCAACUAUGAAAGAAUCAAGACAGAAAGGAAGAAGAGACAAAGUAGGAAGGAAGUUAUUUAUUUUCUGCAUAAUUCAAAACAACCUAUUGGCUAUAUUUUAUAGCCGACUAAACAUUGAACAAUAAACUACCUGCUUAAGAAUAGGAAAGCACUAACAAUACGAAACUAAUAAUAAGGAAUUACUCCUCCCACUACGCUAGUUUCCAGCCAUGACCAGUAACUAACAAAGACUCCUUCCUCAUUCACCCCACGUUACUAGUAACUAACAAAGACCCAUUCCUCAUUCAUCCCACGUCCCUGCACCAUGCCUUUACCCACGUAGGAAUGAACGUAUCAGUAAGGAACAACUUUCGAAUGAUUUCAAGGCCCUAGAGGAGGAGGAGGAGGAGGAGGAGGAGGAGGUGGAUCAAUGGAAGCUCUAAGUGCUGACACGAAUCCUAACUUUGCCACAUUUUCUUCCCAUUCUGGAAACCUAUCCAACCAUUUUAUUGCUUCACUAGCUGAAAGUUUUACAAUGUCUGCCGUAUUCCCUCUUCCGAUUAUGGCCCACCCUCUAACUUCUUGCGGUAAGGAUGAUCAUAUGUUCUAUCAAGCAGCAGAAGCAAUCCCUCUCGUGGAAGGAGCUCUGCCUUGGAUACCAAAAGUAAAACUACCUUGCCCUUCAUUUCAGAUACACCUAGCUGUAAAUGAACUCAAAGAAAAUCGUAUCAGAUGCAAUGUUGUGGAUAGAACGAAAAUCAUAGGUUUUUUUUUUGAAAUCCAAGGAAGAAAAAAAACAUUAUUAUAGUGAAUAAUAUUUGCAAGGAGACAUACAGUAAAACCUCAUUCUCUUGUUGUUUUUUAUUUAUGAAAUUGAGAAAAAAUUAAUUAGAUAAAAAAAAAAUUCUAAUCAAUUUGUCAAAUUUACCAUUUAAAUCAUGAAACUAAGAUAACCUUAUAAAAAAUAAAUUAAAAAAAUUAUAAAAUUCAAUCCCAAAUAAAUUUAAUAUUAAAAAAUAAAAUUAAUUUUUUUAAAAAAUAUAAAAACAAAAAUAAAAUCCCCGUUUAUCUUUAGUUUUUUGGUGAAUUCAGAAUACAGGAAAGUCUUAAUAAAAAUAAAAUCCCCGUAAUAAUUUUUUAACUGGGAUAAAAUAACAAUUUCAUGUCAACUGAAAAAUAAAAUAAUUAAUUUUUUUUCUUUUAAUUUCUCAUUUCUUCACUUGAUUUUUUUUUAGUUUAAUAUUUUAUAAGUUGGACUUCAUAAGUUUACAAAAAUAUUCUCUUAUUUUUUAAUAUUUUUAUAUAAUUUUUUUAUGUUUUCCCCUUACUUUUCUCUCUUUCUUUUUUAUCUUUUUUUUUUUUUCCUGUUUUGCUACCUAGUCGGCAACAUAUAAAAAGAAAGAAGAAUUGAUUUAUUUUAUUUUUUAAUGGUAAAUAAUUUUUUUAUCUUUAAUGAGUCGUUUUGCUUUUAUUUAAAAGAUUUUAUUUUUGCGUUAGCAUUACAAAACUCUGUUUAUCCUAAAAUUUUAACCAUAUUUUAUUCAAUAUAUUUUAAGAUCCUUCAUAAAAUUUCAGCUCAAUCUGAUAGUGAAAUUGAAAAUUAUAUGUAAUAAUAUAAAACUGUUCAAAUAAUGAUUUUUUAUUAAAUUUUUAAAUUUCUCUAAAAUUUCUGAAAUUUUAAACUAAGUUUAAACAUAGACUAUACCUAAAUUUUUAAAAAUUUUAAAUAACUCAAUUAUAAAUUAUUUUUUUAUAUAAAACCAAUAAAAAAAUCUUGAUAAAAUCUUCAACUAACCCACCCUAACCUUUGCAUUGCCUCCGCCCUUGUUACCACUGUUAAUGUGAUGUUUUUGUAUUAAAAAGAUUGGAAAAUACAAUAAAGCCCUUGGUGGUUUAAAGAGAGGGUAUAAAUGAUUGAGGGUUAGUGUGGUAAUUGAACAAUAGUUGAUAAAUAUAAAUAAGAAGAAGAAAAAAAAAAACAAGAAUGAUCUGAUUUUGAGAGAAAGAGAGCUACGGGAGAGAGGGAAAGAGGAAGAAGAAGAAAAGAAAGGAGAGAAGGAAAGGAAGGAGAAGAGAAGUAGAGGAAAUAAGUAAAAAGGUAAGAUUUAUGGUUUGAAGUGUAUAAUAUGUUGAAUUUCGGUUUUGAUUAAUUGUAGAGUUUUGAAGUUUGUAUUUUGAGUUAAUUGAUGAAUUAAUUUGAAGGUUAGGAGUUGAUUAUUGUGGGUAUUUGAUUAAUUAGUUGAUUUUGAGAGAUUGAAUUGAAGGAUAAUGAUUUUGAGUUAUGAUUUUGUUUAAAUGGUGAAAUUUUGUUAGAAAUCAGGGGAUAACAGUAGGUGAUCUGUUGAAAUUCUGGGUUUGAGGUUGAAGAUGACGAAAAUUCAGUUUGGGCCCUCAAUUUACGGAAAUUGCAGUUUAGUCCCCGAACUUUGGAAAUUUUACAGAUUGGCCCCUGGGGCAUAAAUUGAGGUUCUGAACAGAACUGAGGAUGAUUUAAGGACAAAAUUCCAGUAUAAUUAAUAUUUUCAGUUUGGUCCUCCAAUUUGACAAAAAGUAUAAUUUGACCCUAAAAAUUUGGUAAAGUUCCAGAAUGGUCCUUGGAGCAUAAUGAUAUAUCCUGGACAGAAUUGAGGAUUAAUUAUGAUCAGAAUUUCAGUAUGGUUAUAUAUUUACAAUUCGGUCCUCAAAUUUUGGUAAAAUUACGUUUUGGUCCCUGUUUUGGAAAAUUGUCGUUUUAGUCCCUAAACUUGGGAGAUUAAGCCCGAUUUUAUUUUAUGCAUUGAGAUCUUUUUUUUUUUGAUUUGUUUUUGAGUAUAUUUCAUAUAUUUAUUGUAGGUUCUCCUAACGAUCCUUAAUCAGAUUUUUGGGUCUUUCGUCUGACAUUCCUUUAGUUCAGUAUUUUUCGGGUGAGUGGAAUAAUCUUUAAUAUGCAUAUAAUAUAAAUAUAUAUGUAUGUUGAUUAUACAAUGAGUACAAGUAGUAAAUUUCUUGAAUAUUUAUAUAUGUUGCUUUAUUUUCCAAGUACUCAUUUAUUCUUAAAUUUGCACUCGCAAUCUGUCAAAGUAAAUUCUAUUUGAUAUGAUAUAUGUUUCUUUGAUGAUUAUGUGAAUAUCUGUUAUGCAUUGAUAUGCGACUUGUCAGUAACUCUAUUCUGUAUACCUAGCUGGUGAGAGAGGCAUCAGCCUGUGGCGAUUGAUCAUCCCACAGUGGUGUCCGACGGGUGUCAUCUGGUCAACUUCGGGUGUCAUCUGAUCUCUGACAUGUAAUCCACUACGUUAUGAUAAUAUGUUACGUUAUGAUAAUAUGUUUAGUAAGUAUAUGUAUAUGUAUAUUAAGAUAAAUCAUCUUAUAAAUUAUUAAUAUCUGAAAUGUAUAUUAAAUGUUAUUCCUUCACUGAGUUGGUUGAACUCACCUCUCAUUUUUAAUAUUAUUUCAGGUUCUUAGUUUCUGGGACUUUGUUGAGUGUUCCCGCUUCUUCAGUUCUGGUCGGUAUGCCUUGCUUGUUCGCGAGGCUUUCCUUUCAGUUUUGAUUUGAUGUCUUAAACGUUCCACUGUUACCUUGGUUUAAUUAAAUUUGGAUUUUGACAAUUUAAUGAGUAUUAUGAAUUAUUAUUUUUGUUUUAAUAACUAUCUUUCAGUUUCAUCAGUAUUUGAAUAAUAUAAUAUUUCUAAAUAUUAUGAGCCGCUGCGUAUUUUUGAACAAAUUGUUCUUUUGAUAUGUCCGUUCUGAGGCUUAGCGUAGGUGAGGUGUCCUUUCGACACCGCUCCUACGUUGCCGGUCACGGAUCCGAGAUUCGGGUCGUGACAGUUAAACAGCAUGGUGCUUUGUUUCCAGCACCGUGUUACCUGUCUCUUGUUUUCUACUGUUUAUUAUAAUUUUAUGGUGAUGAAAUUGAUCGAUGCCGGCCUGUAAACAAAUCUUCCUUCUGCGAAAUAAACAAUGUAUUCGAAUAAGGAGCAGGGACAGAGAGUUCAAAGAUCGAAAGAUUAAUUCAAGUCUUCAUGAACUUUCAUGGGGACUACGAGAUUAAAAAUGCCCCUCGCAACAAGAAGUCUGAAUCAGUUAAUUACUGGAUGUUAUUAAGGGUUUGACUUUUGAGUAUUGAUUCAAAUCCCUAAAGUUUUAAGGCGUUAUGUUCUAAAUCAAAUCCUUGUCAUCGAGGCCUAAGAUAUGCUCUGAUUUCUAGGAGGUUUUCCGAUGAGUGAACAUUGCCAAGGAAAUGGACAUGUAGAAACUAGAAAUGGUACUGCAAACAACACCUUUCAUUAACAAUAAGCAACAUAUUAAAAUACAAAUAACAUGCAGUAGUAGAAAAGCCUCGACAUAUUCCACACCAGAGCUGAUGUGCAUCAUCACAGAUAGUAGCGGCAGCGACGGUGGCCGUGUCUGCCUUGGUUUUUAUUGAAAUAGAUAGUGAUUUAAAACGUAAAUAGCAUACCGUAUUCCUGGUAAUAAAGCUCAAUCGGUACAGCAACGAUACAUGAUGAACUUCUCCAUGGGACGGCCGCAUUCAGCACAAAGAACCCUCUCUUGUACACCGUCCUUCAAUAUCGCAACGAUAGAUGAUGAACUUCUCCCUGUAGCCCCUGGCAGUAUCAGACGGUAGCAGUGGAGUGGGCUAUGGAGUUCAUGGAGGUAAUCAAUCAGUGCAGGCAGAAAACCCUUCUCCUGUACACCGUCCUUCCAUAUCUCAAAGUCAACUAAAGAUUUCAGUAUGGUUUCUCCGUUUGCCUUGGCCAUAUCAGCAGGUCCCCUGCUGAUCAAAGCCCACCCUUGAUCACUUCCAUCGAAGCUGAGCACUGUCAUUAUCUCCUGCAUGAUGACGUCAGUCUCUACAGUCCUCUUGUGUUGCACCUUGGAAUGCCACAUGCUCUCCAGCCUAACCCAAAAGAACCAGAUCAAAGUGAGGUCUGGCAAUACAUUGCUAAGUUUCUCGGUCGUAAUGGUAGAGUUGUUUUUCCUAACUUUCUCCCUGGGGUUGCUCUUCCCUACGUAGAGCAUUUCUAACGUUAUAGCGGCCUUGCUCGCAACUUCUUUUGCAGUAACGGUGAAUUUACGGAUCCACUCAAUGUCCUCCCCACCAUACAAGCAUAUGUACUUCCCUUGCUCUAUCUGCAAUAACAAUUAAUUGUGUUAAAUCCAUGAAUAAUGCGCGUAUGAAAUUCCUCUGCACCAGUCGGGUUGUUGUCGGGUUUACAAAUUAGUUUCAAGUUGGGAAAUUUGAAUCCCUCUGCUGAGAAAUUGCAAGUAGUAGAUGAUGUCGAUAGAAUGUUGAGAUAAAGACUGCAUUUUAGUUUGAUUAUUGUAUAUGCAUGCAAGAGAGGAAAGCUAUACCCAAGACAAGAUCAUUGGAUCAAUGCUAUCUGCCAAUAGCUCGAUUUCCAGGUUUCUUCUUUCCAGAGUGCUUCCUCCCUCAAGCUGGUGAAAGGGAAAGCCAGGCUUCCCCAAAUCCACAUCAUGUGGAUUGCAUUGGGGUUGACUACUCUCCCUUGUGGAUCCAAAACCACAAGCAAGGGCCUCUUGUUGAAGUGCCACACCUCUUUGAUGUACCUGAUGACUGCAACAUCGAGCAAUGAAGGGUGAUAGACAGAGUACCAUGGCAUCAUCCUCUGAAAAUCCUCAAACUGCUUUUGCUUUGUUUCAUUCCAUGAUCUGUCCACAACUGGGAGCCAUACAACCUCAUACUGGCUCUCUGGUCUUCCUGGUUGCUCCCGCGCCUCACUGUACAUUUGUUGCAGCAUUGAAAGCUCUCCAUGGGAGAUUUCGAGGUCCGAAAUCAGCAGCAACACGCUCCUCCUUCUCAACACAUCAAGGCUUGCCUGUAAUUAACAGUGGGAAUUCUGUUUUAUCCUUGUAUAUUCAUAUAGGAGGAUCAUUAACAAAUAUUUUCGUCAGGAAGUAUGAUUGAUAUCUGCAUAGCUAUUAUGUGGUAAGAUUUCAAGCAAUCUCUCUCGUCUCUAUCAUCCAGUGAAUUAACUAACAGCAAUAUAAUCUGAAUAAAAUGGACUGAAAGAACAGAACAAUAACCGAACCUUUUUCUUGGUGGAACCAUCAAAGAGUGGUAGUUGAUCGUCCUUGGCAUAAAUCAAAGCCUUUAGAAUCUUCAUGUUGUCAAUGUGGAAAGCUUCGAACAGGCUCACAAGUGUUUGAAAUGCUUCAAUAUGUCUUUUCUCAUCUGGAUCACAGAGAGAUCACUAGUUAUCACCAUCCAGCAUGUAUUUUGCAUCAAAACAUAAUUUUUUUAAAUGGUGAAUAUUAUAAUAUACUGUUUGAUAUGAAUUGCACUUGUUUGACAGGGCUCGGACUCACCUAUGUGUUGAAAACAAAGGGUGAGCUGCUUCAUGAGAUGGCUGUGAAUGUUAUUAACCUUGUGGGCCAAGCUUGAUAGCUCCCAAGCCUCUGUUGUGGAUGCUAUGUACCUGUGGAGCAGAUAGUGAGAUGCAAAAGAAAAGUUUAGCACCCUUUUCACUCUACUUUUGGCUGCUUUGCAUGCAUGUGAAAACCCUUCUAGUACUUUCAUAGCCAGAGCCAGAGUAGACUGAGCUUUCUACAUGUUAUUUUGGUGCAAGAAUAUUUCUGAUUAAUAUAAGCAAAUUUAUCAUGGAGAAGGAAACACAUACUCAUGACCCAUGCCAAUAAGGCCCAUAAUUUGCGAUGCGCAAGCCACAAUACUCCUGAUGGUCCAGUAAACAGCAGUGGGGAUAUGCGCGGUGGCAGUUAACAUUUCUGGAGUGUCAGGGGUGAUGUAUUGCGACGGAAGCUCCUUGAACUCAACUAUGCAUUUGGCCACAUCCAACAUGGCCUUGAUAAGGCUUGUCAGUGCCUCAAACUUGGGCUUCAGAUUGUCUGCUCGUUCAAUUAUAUCCGGCAAUUGCUUCAGAAGUGCAACCGCCUUAGCUAGUGGGUUUGUAAGGUAAAGCUGGGCGACAAGCCAAAACUCCCCAUAGUUCACGGCAAAUCCAGCUAACGCUAGCACCACCUUUUCGUCCCACGAGUAGUUUGAUACCAAGUUGAAUAUUGCCAAAGUUGUUGCAUGUGCAUCUCCACCUCCAGAACACUUGCAGGACAUCUGUUGGAAAAAGCGUAUUCGUAAGUGUCUUUAAACAUCAUGAACUUAUAAACCACAAAUCUCUUCUGUCCGAACUUACCUCGCAGGAAAUCUUGUUGAUGUUGUAAACAGCAUCUCGAUCGUUUCAUGAAAGCCAUUUUGAAGAGCCUUCUCCUCCAACUCAUCAAGUUGUGCUUGAUGAGCUCCCUGAAAUAUAGAAGUCACCAGUGAUGAUCAGAAACAUAAUAAAUAAUGCUGAAUAAAUUAUCAUACCAAUAUAAAAGCACAUAGAAAUAUAGCAUGCAACUGGUUAGGUAUAUACCUGCUGCUGAACAAUGCUGGUCAUGCCUAGGGCAGGAGUGGCACGGAGGAAAAUGUCCUCAACAAUAUGAAGAAGAGGCUUCACUGAAAAUUCACGGCCAUCAGGAGCAUGAGUGGCCUGAAUUUGCUUCAUCAAUUGCGGUGUCAUCCGAUGAUGAAAACAUACUGCGUUCACGCCUCAUCUUUAAAGGUACCACCAUCGAGGUCAUAGAAAACUAUAUAGAUUCAAAUUCUAAGAGGGAAAGAGAGAGGAGCGAACAGCUUGUGUUGGUAUGGAUGUGGUUAGCUGAUCCGAGACUUGUAUUUAUAGGUCAAAUUAAGCUAGAAUUAAUACCUUGCUUCAGACAGGGUCUAAGCUCUAAAGUGCACCAGGGAUAAAUUUUGGAGAAGGUCCUGUCUACAAUAUUGUACCUGAUUUUACUAUCUCUUUUGGCUUUGAUUUUAACUAUUUUUCGAAGAUUCGAAUACUAUGAUUGCUGAUUUUACUUCUAUAUGUUUUGUGGAACACGUUGAUGCUGAGUUUGUCACACAGUCACAGUUUAAAUUUUAAUUUUGUGGAACACGUUGAUUCCGAGCAUGUCACAGGUCCAACUUUCCGGUCAGCCCAUGAUCGGAAUGUUGUUUCAGCGGCAACGCCCUUGCUCUGCUUGUUGAGACUCAGAAGCUGAAAUCCUUUCGUUUUCUUAUAAAUCAUUAACGAGUUGUAACUCAUCUGACAUCAAUGUAAUUUACUCUUUUCAAGAGAUCUGGAAUUCAAAUUUCAACGUCAUAGAAUGAAAUUACGUUCUCAAACAAAGAUAAAGGCAGCAGUACUCUGAUCAUAUUAUUAUGAUGGAAGGCAACAUUCAAUCCACAAGCAAUUAUCUGUGCUGCUGCACCCGUGUGUAAAACAAAAUUUCAUGUGUUAUUCUGAAAAUGGCACGUUAAUUUUAACCAGACAAUACGAUGAAGGAAUGGAGAAAAUGUUUAUGAACUUUCUCUGAAGAAUGUUUCUUUGUCUUUUAUGACGUAAGAAACCUUUCAUCAUUAAAGUUAAAGGUGAUUAGAUGCUCAUUGUUUUCUCUGUUUUUUCCAUAUCACCAGCAAUAAUGACGCAUCUCUUUCCUUCACUUUGUGGUAGGGUUUUUGUGUUUUAAUAUUAUUUUUUUUAAAAAUUAAUUUUUUAUUAUUUUAAAUUAAUUUUUAAAUAAUUUUUAAUACUGAUAUCAAAAAUAGAUUUUAUUUAAUUAUAUUUUUAAAAACACUUUAAAAAAUAAUUAUAUCAUAAAACCAAACAAACUCAUCAUCAUUAAUUAUUAAAAAUAAAUUUUAAUGUUCAUGAUAAAUAAAUAAAUAAAUUCAUGUUGUUUAUUAAAACUAAUUAAUUAGUUUUUAUAGUAUAAAAAAUGAUUAAAGAGUCCCCUAACCAAUACUUACCAUCCUUAAUUCAAUAGGAUUUUCUUUUCUUCUAAGAAAUUUCUACUUUUCUGAUUAGAUCUCUCUUCAUCUUACAUGCUUUUUUAGUUUCUCUUUUCUUUUUAUUUCUCAAAAACAAAAAAAUAAAAUAAAAAUAAAAACCAAAACAAAUAUAAAAUUGAAGAAAGGAACAUCCAAACCAAGCCACCUUUCUAAAUUUAUGAGGAUUAAUUGAUUAAUUAAUUUUGUCAAACUGUAAAUACUAAUUUAUAGUUUAGUCACCACGAACCAUCCAGAUUCUGAACUCUAAGCCAAGCCACCUUUCUCCCCAUUUCUUUACAUUUUAAAAGGGUGUUUCCUAUUUACUCAUCCUGCAUGAGUUAAGUUAUUUAUGAGAUAUUAUUUCUUCCUCGUAAUUAUUUAAUUUUUAAUUUUAAAUUAAUAUAUUUUUUAGUUUUUAGAUUAUUUUGAUACACUAAUAUCCAAAACAAUUUUAAAAAAUAAAAAAUAUUAUUAAAAUAUAUUUUUAAAUAAAAAAUAUUUUAAAAAACAAUUAUAAUCAUUCUUCCAAUUAAAUCCUUAAUAUAACUUAUCAAAAAAGUACUUUAAGUCAUUGUAAUACCUUUAAAAACUGUCAAUGGUCGUGCGCGUUGCCUUACAUGAGGUCGUUUGAAACUUUGAAUAUAUAACUAAGCUUACCCAACUACAAAUCUUUUUUAUUAUUAUAUAUUUACUUAAAAGGUACUUUUAUUAAUUAAAGUUAAAAAUACUCAAGCGUUGCAAACGUAACUGCCAAUUUUUUUUUUUUUUUAAAAAUGAUGUGAAAAAAAUUAUUAGAGUAUAAUAAAAAGUUAAAGGUUAUAAUUGAUUGCUUUUUUUCUUUGAAAAAAGUAUGAUUGAGAAAGAAGAGUAUUUUGAUAGGUAUUUAUUCCUUAAUUAAAUAAAAACUCACCAAAUUAUAAGUGUGAUUGAAAUAUAACAUUAUUUCAAACUAAUCAUAAUGAAAUUAUAAAAAAAACCAUCCAAGAACACUGAAGGAAUAGAAAAAGAAGGUCGUCUUUUAGUUCAACUUUAAUUUAGAACAAAUAUAAAAUAUACCAUAAAACAAUUGGAUCAUCAUCGAUUUGCACUUAGACUAUCCAAACACCCUUGUUUAGAUCUUGAAAGAACAUCACAUAUAAUCACUCCAAAUGAUUUUUGAUCCCAUCGAACUUGAAAUAAUAGCUCAAACUUUAUGAAAUUCCAAAGAAUGACAUGGGGACCAAAAUCAAAGCAUAAGGUGGAAAAGGAAAAGGAUAAGGAAGAACCUUAUAUUCUCUAGACUUGAACUCCAAGGAACGUGGGAAUAAGGCAGGCGUUCAACACCUAUACCAGGGAGGGGGGGGGUAAAAAGUGGUGGAUAACAAGUUUUAAAAUUUGAGAUCUGCCGAUAUGUCACCCAAAAUCCGUUUAAUUUGGGACCGAAUUGGUCUGAAUUAAAAAAAAAUAAUAAUAAUUGAUUGACUCAGUAAUCGAUGACCCGGUUACAGAUGACUAACAAUUCAUUAAAUUGUUUUUAAUCUUUUUUUUUUUUUUUUUAUCAAAACAUAUUAUUUUGACUCUUUAAAAAAAUUAGGUCAAUUUGAAUUAAUUAUUCCGACUCGUAACACAGACUUGCCUUUGUUGUUUUAGGUCGAGUUUUAACAUUAUAAUAUAUAAGUUAUUAAGUUAUUGAGUUAAUCUUUAUCAGUUCAAUUUAAAUAAAUUAUUUAAAAAAAAAAAAAUAAAACUUCAAAACCCAAUCUAAAUCUAGUCAAGUUUGAACCAAGCUAAUCAUGUAAUUAAAAACUUAAUCGAGUUAAUCAGAUUUGAUCUAGUUAAUGACUUUUUAGAUUCAACUUAAGGGUCAUGGUUUUCUAGCAACAACUAGCGGAGACCGGCCGGGUUUAACAUCUAUGAAAUAAUUAACUAUGCUAGUACAGGAAAACUAAUAAGAAACCACAGAUUUACUGCUCUUUGCUUCUAGCAAGUUAGGUUUUUUUUUUUUUUUUUUUUUUGGGAGAUUCUAGUUUCUUUCCUUGCUGUCGUCUUUCUACUAAUUUUAUCUCAAUGAGCAUACCUCCAGAGGAUCAAUAGCUGCAACUUGUAGAAGGCCGCCUUUUCUACCUUAUUUUUCUGCUCUUUAUCUUUAUACAGAUCGCCGAGAAUUAGCAGAACAAGCAAGGAUAUAGUUACUGUAUUGUUUACUAAGAACAUGAUCAAGUGUACUGUAAAAUUAAGUUGCAUCAAUCUGUAAUUAGAUGAUCAUAAUAAAUUGUGAAGCAUUCUGUUUAACAGCGAUAAUAAAAAAAUAGCUUGAUGUUUGUUUGCUCAGUACAUAUCGAUAUUUCACUCAUAAACAACGUUCUUCUUCAUGGGAUGCUCACACUACUCACACAGUACAGUUUCUUCUGUUAGCCCUUCUGCGUAAGGAACAACUUUCGAAUGAUUUCAAGGCCCUAGAGAGGAGGGAGGAGGAGGUGGUGGUGGAUCAAUGGCAGCUCUAAGUGCUGACACGAAUCCUAACUUUGCCACAUUUUCUUCCCAUUCUGGAAACCUAUCCAACCAUUUUAUUGCUUCACUAGCUGAAAGUUUUACAAUGUCUGCCGUAUUCCCUCUUCCGAUUAUGGCCCACCCUCUAACUUCUUGCGGUAAGGAUGAUCAUAUGUUCUAUCAAGCAAUCCCUCUUGUGGAAGGAGCUCUGCCUUGGAUACCAAAAGUAAAACUACCUUGCCCUUCAUUUCAGAUACACCUAGCUGUAAAUGAACUCAAGAAAAUCGUAUCAGAUGCAAUGUUGUGGAUAGAACGAAAAUCAUAGGUUUUUUUUUUGAAAUCCAAGGAAGAAAAAAAAGUGAAUAAUAUUUGCAAGGAGACAUACAGUAAAACAUCAUUCUCUUGUUGUUUUUUAUUUAUGAAAUUGAGAAAAAAAUUAAUUAGAUAAAAAAAUUUCUAAUCAAUUCGUCAAAUUUACAAUUUAAAUAAUGAAACUAAGAUAACCUUAUAAAAAAUAAAUUAUAAAAAUUAUAAAAGUCAAUCUCAAAUAAAUUUAAUAUUAAAAAAUAAAAUUAAUGUUUUCAAAAAAUAUAAAUUAUAAAAACCAAAAUAAAAUCCCCCUUUAUCUUUAGUUUUUUGGUGAAUUCAGAAUACAGGAAAGUCUUAACUCUUAACCUCCACAACCCAACCCAACCAACCCAACUCGAACCCACGUGCCCCGGGAGUACCGGUUAGAGUGAAGCCCAUCCGUGCUGGAUUCCAUUAAUUAUCAUUCUGGGCCUUGGCUCGAGGGGCAUUCUUGUCAUGUCACGAAAGGAAAUCACAUCCACGCUGUAUAAAUAAAACCCCUAGCACGAGCACUAGAAGAAGCAUAAGAAUCCCUAACCGCCCUCCUAUGCUCUCGUCGCUUUUCUGUGUAGAUCAACUUUUUUUAGGAUCUGAUUGGUAUUAAAAUUGUUGUUGUGGUUAUGAUUUUAAAAAAAUUAUUUAUAAAAAGUAUUUUUAGAGGUUGGUUUGAAAAAAUAUAUGUUUUGGUUAAAAUUAUGGUUGAAAUUGAGGUUGAACAAAACAUAGUUUAAUGUGUUUGGUAAACAAAUGCUUUUCAAAUUGAGGUUAUAAAAUAAUUAAAUAUAUAUAUAUAUAUAUAUAUUUGAUUUUUUAAUUUAAAUAUUGUAGAUUUAACCACUGUUAUAUAUAUCAUGAAAUAAAUAAUAUUGAUAUCAAAUAUUUUUUAUUCUUCAUUUUUCCAUUAAACUAUGUGCAAUGUCACAUACAAAAUCUAUCCAACAAGAACUAUAUUUUUCAUGGUUUCUUAAGCGCGCAACAACAAAAACUGAAUUUUUUGUUACAUCAUUAAGCGAUCUCCUUUUAAGUUUUUGAAUAAAAUACAAUUAAAAUAAAAAUAAAAACUGAAUUUCUUUUUUUAUGUAGUGUUAUUAAAUAAUAUUAAAUACUAGUUUUUCAAGUAAAACACAAUUUUUUAAAAAAAUUUAUAAUUUAUUAUGUACAAAAUUUAUUCGACAAUAACUACAGAAAAAAUAAUUUUUUGAGCGUGCAAUAAAAUUAAGUAAAAUAUUAUCAGGAAUAAAAUUGAGAUUACAAUACGAAUAAAUUUAAUUGACCUUAAACUAAUUUUUUAAAAAAAUAAUAUUGUUCAUGUUCACGUGAACUGUCAGAGAAAAAAGAACGAAUGGAUCUUGUAGGAUUCCCAAGAAAUUCUUCGAUUUCUUCCGGAAGCAGAUGAUUAUUCAUCUCCUUCGCACCUUCCGUGAAUAGCCGGGACAUUGAGGAAUAUCCAGAAAGACAUUUAGGGAAUCGGUCUGAUUCUAUCUCUGUUCGUUCCGUUUGAAGAAAGGAAGGAUCCCAAAGAAUCGAUCUUUUUUUUAGUUGUUGAAUCUCUCUUUGAUUGAUCAAUGUGUGAUAUUCCGAAUCCUCAUUACUAAUGGAAUCGAAAUGAUCUCUGGAUUGAUCAGAAGAUCCCUUCAAUUGGCUAGAAUCCCUUCCUUGAAGGAAGCUAGAUCUUGUGGAAUCAUAUUGAAUAUUUGACAAUAUAUUCUGUGCCUUGCUAAAAAAACCGAUCCUUGUUUACCAAGCACACAUUGUCUAACCAAAUCCACUAAAAUCAAUUAAUUACACUAAUUUUUCAAAGAAAAAAAAGAACUAAACUUCUCGCAAUGUUUUUCAAAAAAAAAAAAAAAAACUAAAAACUGUAACAGUGCGAGUGGAAUUAAUCACUCGCACUGUUCACUGAACAGUAGAGCCACUGUUCUGCUUUUCUACCCUACGAGCAGCAGCAUUUUGCUGCUUCUCCAAAACAUGUGGUGUGGCUGAGAAUUUGAUGGGUCCCACCAACAAAAAACAAUUUUUUCUUGUUAACCAAACGGUAUUUGAUGUGGCUGCGGGUGAACCUUACCUGCAACAACGUUACCAAACGGGCAUUUAGUCUCAAUUUGUUUGUGUUUCUUGUUUUUGUUUUUGUUGUUAAUCGCUUUCGAUAGGUGUUGCGUUCUUCAAUGGCUUUUACAGAUCCGUAAGGACGUGUCAACGGAAGCGUAUAUUUAUUGCAAUCCCAAACCCUUUUAUAUAUAUUAAUUGAUAUUAUUAUGAUCAAGCUGGGUUAUUAAAUAAAUAUAUGAAUUUGUUUUAAGAUAAAUUAUUAAUUUAUGUAUAUUAACUUUUAAAAUAUUUAGAAAAGUUUUAAUUUAAAUAUAUUAUUUAAAAUAUAAAAAAAUAAAUUUAAAAGUACAUAAAAUAAAAAUAAAAAUAAAAGUAAAAAUAAAUUUAUUAUUGAAGUUAUAUUAUUUGAUGUUUUGUGAAAUAUAAUUUAUUUAUAAUCAAGUUUGAAUCGAUAUUGUAAUAAUUUUUUAACUGGAAUAAAAUAACAAUUUCAUGUCAACUAAAAAAUAAAAUAAUUAAUUUUUUUUUAAUUUCUCAUUUCUUCACUUGAUUUUUUUUUAGUUUAGUAUUUUAUAAGUUGGACUUUAUAAGUUUAACAAAAUAUUCUCUUAUGUUUUUAUAUUUUUAUAUUUGUUUUUUAAUGUUUUCUCCUUACUUUUCUCUCUUUCUCUUUUACCUUUUUUUUUUUUCCUGUUUUGCUACCUAGUCGGCAACAUAUAAAAAGAAAGAAGAAUUGAUUUAUUUUAUUUUUUAAUGGUAAAUAAUCAUUUUAUCUUUAAUGAGUCGUUUUACUUUUUUUAACAGUUUUUAUUUUUGUGUUAGCAUUACAAAACUCUGUUUAUCCUAAAAUUUUAACCAUAUUUUAUUCAAUAUAUUUUAAAAUCCUUCAUAAAAUUUCAGCUCAAUCUGAUAGUUAAAUUGAAAAUUAUAAGUAAUAAUAUAAAACUGGUCAAAUUAUGAUUUUUUAUUAAAUUUUUAAAUUUCUCUAAAAUUUCUAAAUUUUUAAACUAAGUUUAAACAUAGACUAUUCCUAAAUUUUUAAAAAUUUUAAAUAACUCAAUUAUAAAUUAUUUUUUAUAUAAAACCAAUAAAAAAAUCUUGAUAAAAUCUUCAACUAACCCACCCUAACCUUUGCAUUGCCUCCGCCCUUGUUACCACUGUUAAACAGCACGGUGCUUUGUUUCCAGCACCGUGUUACCUGUCUCUUGUUUUCUACUGUUUAUUAUAAUUUUAUGGUGAUGAAAUUGAUCGAUGCCGGCCUGUAAACAAAUCUUCCUUCUGCGAAAUAAACAAUGUAUUCGAAUAAGGAGCAGAGAUAGAGAGUUCAAAGAUCGAAAGAUUAAUUCAAGUCUUCAUGAACUUUCAUGGGGAAUACGAGAUUAAAAAUGCCCCUCGCAACAAGAAGUCUGAAUCAGUUACUGGAUGUUAUUAAGGGUUUGACUUUUGAGUAUUGAUUCAAAUCCCUAAAGUUUCAAGGCGUUAUGUUCUAAAUCAAAUCCUUGUCAUCGAGGCCUAAGAUAUGCUCUGAUUUCUAGGAGGUUUUCCGAUGAGUGAACAUUGCCAAGGAAAUGGACAUGUAGAAACUAGAAAUGGUACUGCAAACAACACCUUUCAUUAACAAUAAGCAACAUAUUAAAAUACAAAAAACAUGUAGUAGUAGAAAAGCCUCGACAUAUUCCACACCAGAGCUGAUGUGCAUCAUCACAGAUAGUAGCGGCAGCGACGGUGGCCGUGUCUGCCUUGGUUUUUAUUGAAAUAGAUAGUGAUUUAAAACGUAAAUAGCAUACCGUAUUACUGGUAAUAAAGCUCAAUCGGUACAGCAACGAUACAUGAUGAACUUCUCCAUGGGACGGCCGCAUUCAGCACAAACAACCUUCUCUGGGAUGCUCCCUGUAGCCCCUGGCAGUAUCAGACGGUUGCAGUGGAAUGGGCUAUGGAGUUCAUGGAGGUAAUCAUUCAGUGCAGGCAGAAAACCCUUUUCCUGUGCACCCUCCCUCCAUGUCUCAAAGUCACCAAAAGAUUGGAGUAUGGUUUCUCCCUUUGCCUUGGCCAUACCAGCAGGUCCCCUGCUGAUCACAGCCCACCCUUGAUCACUUCCAUCGAAGCUGAGCAUUGUCAUUAUCUCCUGCAUGAUGACGUCAUUCUCUACAGUCCUCUUGUGUUGCACCUUGGAAUGCCACAUGCUCUCCAGCCUCACCCAAAAGAACCAGAUCAAAGUGAGGUCUGGCAAUACAUGGCUAAGUUUCUCGGUCGUAAUGAUAGAGUUAUUCUUCCUAACUUUCUCCCUGGGGUUGCUCUUCCCUACAUAGAGCAUUUCUAACGUUAUAGCGGCCUUGCUCGCAACUUCUUUUGCAGCAACGGUGAAUUUACGGAUCCACUCAAUGUCCUCCCCACCAUACAAGCAUAUGUACUUCCCUUGGUCUAUCUGCAAUAACAAUUAAUUACUUGUGUUAAAUCCAUUAAUAAUGCGCGUAUGAAAUUCCUCUGCACCUUGUCGGGUUUACAAAUUAGUUUCAAGUUUGGAAAUUUGAAUCCCUCUGCUUAGAAAUUGCAGGUAGUAGAUGAUGUCGAUAGAAUGUUGAGAUAAAGACUGCAUUUUAGUUUGAUUAUUGUAUAUGCAUGCAAGAGAGGAAAGCUAUACCCAAGACAAGAUCAUUGGAUCAAUGCUAUCUGCCAAUAGCUCGAUUUUCCAGGUUUCUUCUUUCCAGAGUGCUUCCUCCCUCAAGCUGGUGAAAGGGAAAGCCAGGCUUCCCCAAAUCCACAUCAUGUAGAUUGCAUUGGGGUUGACUACUCUCCCUUGUGGAUCCAAAACCACAAGCAAGGGCCUCUUGUUGAAGUGCCACACCUCUUUGAUGUACCUGAUGACUGCAACAUCUAGCAAUGAAGGGUGAUAGACAGAGUACCAUGGCAUCAUCCUUUGAAAAUCCUCAAACUGCUUCUGCUUUGCUUCAUUCCACGGGGAUGAUCUGUCCACAACUGGGAGCCAUACAACCUCAUACUGGCUCUCUGGUCUUCCUGGUUGCUCCCGCGCCUCACUGUACAUUUGUUGCAGCAUUGAAAGCUCUUCAUGGGAGAUUUCGAGGUCCGAAAUCAGCAGCAACACGCUCCUCCUUCUCAACACAUCAAGGCUUGCCUGUAAUUAACAGUGGGAAUUCUGUUUUAUCCUUGUAUAUUCAUAUAGGAGGAUCAUUAACAAAUAUUCUCGUCAGGAAGUAUGAUUGAUAUCUGCAUAACUAUUAUGUGGUGAGAUUUCAAGCAGGUCUAGCAUGCGGUUUUUACUCAACAAUCUCUCUGGUCUAUAUCAUCCAGUGAAUUAACUAAAAAUGGACUGAAAGAACAGAACAAUAACCGAACCCUUUUCUUGGUGGAACCAUCAAAGAGUGGUAGUUGAUCGUCCUUGGCAUAAAUCAAAGCCUUUAGAAUCUUCAUGUUGUCAAUGUGGAAAGCUUCGAACAGGCUCACAAGUGUUUGAAAUGCUUCAAUAUGUCUUUUCUCAUCUGGGUCACAGAGAGAUCACUAGUUAUCACCAUCCAGCAUGUAUUUUGCAUCAAAACAUAAUUUUUUUUAAAUGGUGAAUAUUAUAAUAUACUGUUUGAUAUGAAUUGCACUUGUUUGACAGGGCUCGGACUCACCUAUGUGUUGAAAACAAAGCGUGAGCUGCUUCAUGAGAUGGCUGUGAAUGUUAUUAACCUUGUGGGCCAAGCUUGAUAGCUCCCAAGCCUCUGUUGUGGAUGCUAUGUACCUGUGGAGCAGAUAGUGAGAUGCAAAAGAAAAGUUUAGCACCCUUUUCACUCUACUUUUGGUUGCUUUGCAUGCAUGUGAAAACCCUUCUAGUACUUUCAUAGCCAGAGCCAGAGUGGACUGAGCUUGUCUACAUGUUAUUUUGGUGAAAGAAUAUUUCUGAUUAAUAUAAGCAAGUCAUUGAGAAGCAACAUGUAUAUUGGCUGGGAAUGGAGCAAAUUUAUCAUGGAGAAGGAAACACAUACUCAUGACCCAUGCCAAUAAGGCCCAUAAUUUGGGAUGCGCAAGCCACAAUACUCCUGAUGGUCCAGUAAACAGCAGUGGGGAUAUGCGCGGUGGCAGUUAACAUUUCUGGAGUGUCAGGGGUGAUGUAUUGCGACGGAAGCUCCUUGAACUCAACUAUGCAUUUGGCCACAUCCAUCAUGGCCUUGAUAAGGCCUGUGAGUGCCUCAAACUUGGGCUUCAGAUUGUCUGCUCGUUCAAUUAUGUCCGGCAAUUGCUUCAGAAGUGCAACCGCCUUAGCUAGUGGGUUUGUAAGGUAAAGCUGGGCGACAAGCCAAAACUCCCCAUAGUUCACGGCAAAUCCAGCUAACGCUAGCACCACCUUUUCGUCCCACGAGUAGUUUGAUACCAAGUUAAAGAUUGCCAAAGUUGUUGAAUGUGCAUCUCCACCUCCAGAACACUUGCAGGACAUCUGUUGGAAAAAAGCAGCGUAUUCGUAAGUGUCUUUAAACAUCAUGAACUUCGAAACCCACAAAUCUUUUCUGUCCGAACUUACCUCGCAGGAAAUCUUGUUGAUAUUGUAAGAGAGCAUCUCGAUCGUUUCAUGAAAGCCAUUUUGAAGAGCCUUCUCCUCCAACUCAUCAAGUUGUGCUUGAUGAGCUCCCUAAAAUAUAUAUAGAAGUCACCAGUGAUGAUCAGAAACAUAAUAAUAAUGCUGAAUAAAUUAGCAUGCAAGAGGCAGUACUACUGGUUUUGUAUAUACCUGCUGCUGAACAAUGCUGGUCAUGCCUAGGGCAGGAGUGGCACGGAGGAAAAUGUCCUCAACAAUAUGAAGAAGAGGCUUCACUGAAAAUUCACGGCCAUCGGGAGCAUGAGUGGCCUGAAUUUGCUUCAUCAUUGCGGUGUCAUCCGAUGAUGAAAACAUACUGCGUUCACGCCUCAUCUUUAAAGGUACCACUGCCAUCGAGGUCAUAGAAAACUAUAUAGAUUCAAAUUCUAAGAGGGAAAGAGAGAGGAGCGAACAGCUUGUGUUGGUAUGGAUGUGGUUAGCUGAUCCGAGACUUGUAUUUAUAAGUCAAAUUAAGCUAGAAUUAAUACCUUGCUUCAGACAGGGUCUAAGCUCUAAAGUGCACCAGGGAUAAAUUUUGGAUAAGGUCUUGUCUAC
rnacentral:lncRNA from 1 species